GGAUGAUGAAUUGAGGAGAAGUACCUCUAAUUUUUGCUCUCCUUCUGGAAUCUUUCUACUCAAAACUACUCAGACAAGAGUAAGAUACAAUAAAGAAGAAAAAUAUUUUCUUCUUGUGAUAAGAACUGUCAGGAUUUACUCUCUUCACAACUUUCCUGGACUUCAUACAGCAGAGUUAGCCAUAGUCAUCAUGAUGCUGUAUGUGACCUUUCUACAAGGUGGAUGAGAAGUGCCCUGUGACCUUGUGUUGGGGAAAUAUAAAUGAAAACAAAAUCUCCUCCCAACCCAGGAAACUUCUCCAUGAAGGUAGAAGAGGA